rnacentral:rRNA from 1 species
GUAGGGAAUAUUGCGCAAUGGGGGAAACCCUGACGCAGCAACGCCGCGUGAGUGAGGAAGGUCUUCGGAUUGUAAAACUCUUUUAUUAGGGAAAAAUGUCUAGGUGGCUAAUAUCCACUUAGAGUGAUGGUACCUAAGGAAUAAGCACCGGCUAACUUCGUGCCAGCAGCCGCGGUAAUACGAAGGGUGCAAGCGUUGUUCGGAAUCAUUGGGCGUAAAGCGGGCGCAGGCGGGUCAGUAAGUCAGGUGUGAAAUCUCGGAGCUCAACUCCGAAACUGCGCCUGAAACUAUUGGUCUAGAGUAUCGGAGGGGACAGGGGAAUUUCACGUGUAGGGGUAAAAUCCGUAGAGAUGUGAAGGAACACCGGAGGCGAAGGCGCCUGUCUGGACGAUUACUGACGCUGAGGCGCGAAAGCGUGGGGAGCAAACAGGAUUAGAAACCCUAGUAGUCC